GAUGAACGCUAGCGGCAGGCCUAACACAUGCAAGUCGAACGGAUCCUUCGGGAUUAGUGGCGGACGGGUGAGUAACACGUGGGAACGUGCCCUUUGGUUCGGAACAACUCAGGGAAACUUGAGCUAAUACCGUAUACGUCCGAGAGGAGAAAGAUUUAUCGCAAUGAGACGGGCCCGCGUCGGAUUAGGUAGUUGGUGGGGUAACGGCCUACCAAGCCGACGAUCCGUAGCUGAUCUGAGAGGAUGAUCAGCCACACUGGGACUGAGACACGGCCCAGACUCCUACGGGAGGCAGCAGUGGGGAAUCUUGGACAAUGGGCGCAAGCCUGAUCCAGCCAUGCCGCGUGAGUGAAGAAGGCCUUAGGGUUGUAAAGCUCUUUUACCAGGGACGAUAAUGACGGUACCUGGAGAAUAAGCCCCGGCAAACUUCGUGCCAGCAGCCGCCGUAACAC
rnacentral:rRNA from 1 species